rnacentral:rRNA from 1 species
GACGAACGCUGGCGGCGUGCUUAACACAUGCAAGUCGAACGGAAAGGCCCUGCUUUUGUGGGGUGCUCGAGUGGCGAACGGGUGAGUAACACGUGAGUAACCUGCCCUUGACUUUGGGAUAACUUCAGGAAACUGGGGCUAAUACCGGAUAGGAGCUCCUGCUGCAUGGUGGGGGUUGGAGAGUUUCGGCGGUUGGGGAUGGACUCGCGGCUUAUCAGCUUGUUGGUGGGGUAGUGGCUUACCAAGGCUUUGACGGGUAGCCGGCCUGAGAGGGUGACCGGCCACAUUGGGACUGAGAUACGGCCCAGACUCCUACGGGAGGCAGCAGUGGGGAAUAUUGUACAAUGGGCGGAAGCCUGAUGCAGCAACGCCGCGUGCGGGAUGACGGCCUUCGGGUUGUAAACCGCUUUCGCCUGUGACGAAGCGUGAGUGACGGUAAUGGGUAAAGAAGCACCGGCUAACUACGUGCCAGCAGCCGCGGUGAUACGUAGGGUGCGAGCGUUGUCCGGAUUUAUUGGGCGUAAAGGGCUCGUAGGUGGUUGAUCGCGUCGGAAGUGUAAUCUUGGGGCUUAACCCUGAGCGUGCUUUCGAUACGGGUUGACUUGAGGAAGGUAGGGGAGAAUGGAAUUCCUGGUGGAGCGGUGGAAUGCGCAGAUAUCAGGAGGAACACCAGUGGCGAAGGCGGUUCUCUGGGCCUUUCCUGACGCUGAGGAGCGAAAGCGUGGGGAGCGAACAGGCUUAGAUACCCUGGUAGUCCACGCUGUAAACGGUGGGUACUAGGUGUGGGGUCCAUUCCACGGGUUCCGUGCCGUAGCUAACGCUUUAAGUACCCCGCCUGGGGAGUACGGCCGCAAGGCUAAAACUCAAAGGAAUUGACGGGGCCCCGCACAAGCGGCGGAGCAUGCGGAUUAAUUCGAUGCAACGCGUAGAACCUUACCUGGGUUUGACAUGGAUCGGGAGCGCUCAGAGAUGGGUGUGCCUCUUUUGGGGUCGGUUCACAGGUGGUGCAUGGCUGUCGUCAGCUCGUGUCGUGAGAUGUUGGGUUAAGUCCCGCAACGAGCGCAACCCUUGUUCACUGUUGCCAGCACGUUAUGGUGGGGACUCAGUGGAGACCGCCGGGGUCAACUCGGAGGAAGGUGGGGAUGACGUCAAGUCAUCAUGCCCCUUAUGUCCAGGGCUUCACGCAUGCUACAAUGGCUGGUACAGAGGGUGGCGAGCCUGUGAGGGUGAGCGAAUCUCGGAAAGCCGGUCUCAGUUCGGAUUGGGGUCUGCAACUCGACCUCAUGAAGUCGGAGUCGCUAGUAAUCGCAGAUCAGCAACGCUGCGGUGAAUACGUUCCCGGG